rnacentral:snRNA from 1 species
GAAUGUGAAGGCGAUCUGGCUGCGACAUCUGUCACCCCAUUGAUCGCCAGGGUUGAUCUGGCUGGCCAGGCGGGUGUCCCCUUCCUCUCUCUCCGCUUCGGGUGCUUCCCUCCCGAAGCUGCGCGCUCAGUCGAAGAGGACGACCUUCCCGGAUAGAGGAGAGGACCGUUCUUCGGUCAAGGGUAUACGAGUAGUUGCGCUUCUCUGCUAGAACCUCCAAACAAGCUCUCAAGGUCCAUUUAUAGGAGAACGUAGGGUAGCCAAGCUUCCAAGACUCCAGACACAUUCCAAUGAGGCGCUGCAUGUGGCAGUCUGCACUUUUUG